CCUACGUGUGGCAGCAGUGAGGAAUAUUGGUCAAUGGGCGUGCGCCUGAACCAGCCAAGUCGCGUGAAGGAUGAAGGCUCUAUGGUUUGUAAACUUCUUUUAUAUGGGAAUAAAGUGAGGAACGUGUUCCUUUUUGUAUGUACCAUAUGAAUAAGCAUCGGCUAACUCCGUGCCAGCAGCCGCGGUAAUACGGAGGAUGCGAGCGUUAUACGGAUUUAUUGGGUUUAAAGGGUGAGGAGGUGGGUAAUUCAGUCAGCGGUGAAAGUUUGGGGCUCAACCAUAAAAUUGCCGUUGAAACUGGUUGACUUGAGUAUAUUAGAGGUAGGCGGAAUGCGUGGUGUAGCGGUGAAAUGCAUAGAUAUCACGCAAAACUCCGAUUGCGAAGGCAGCUUACUAAACUAUAACUGACACUGAAGCACGAAAGCGUGGGGAUCAAACAGGAUUAGAUACCCGGGUAGUC
rnacentral:rRNA from 1 species